rnacentral:rRNA from 1 species
UACGUAGGGGGCUAGCGUUGUCCGGAAUCAUUGGGCGUAAAGAGCGUGUAGGCGGUCCGGUAAGUCCGCUGUGAAAGUCGGGGGCUCAACCCUCGAAUGCCGGUGGAUACUGUCGGGCUAGAGUGCGGAAGAGGCGAGUGGAAUUCCUGGUGUAGCGGUGAAAUGCGCAGAUAUCAGGAAGAACACCCGUGGCGAAGGCGGUUCUCUGGGACGGUACUGACGCUGAGACGCGAAAGCGUGGGGAGCGAACAGG